GACGAACGCUGGCGGCGUGCUUAACACAUGCCAGUCGAACGGAAAGGCCCUGCUUUUGUGGGGUGCUCGAGUGGCGAACGGGUGAGUAACACGUGAGUAACCUGCCCUUGACUUUGGGAUAACUUCAGGAAACUGGGGCUAAUACCGGAUAGGAGCUCCUGCUGCAUGGUGGGGGUUGGAAAGUUUCGGCGGUUGGGGCUGGACUCGCGGCUUAUCAGCUUGUUGGUGGGGUAGUGGCUUACCAAGGCUUUGACGGGUAGCCGGCCUGAGAGGGUGACCGGCCACAUGGGGACUGAGAUACGGCCCAGACUCCUACGGGAGGCAGCAGUGGGGAAUAUUGCACAAUGGGCGGAAGCCUGAUGCAGCAACGCCGCGUGCGGGAUGACGGCCUUCGGGUUGUAAACCGCUUUCGCCUGUGACGAAGCGUGAGUGACGGUAAUGGGUAAAGAAGCACCGGCUAACUACGUG
rnacentral:rRNA from 1 species